rnacentral:pre_miRNA from 1 species
UAAUCUCAGCUGGCAACUGUGAGCAAUUAAUACAUUCUCUCACAGUGGUAUCUGGGAUUAUG